rnacentral:lncRNA from 1 species
GUGGGGCAGGGAGAUGUGGGGCAGGGAGAUGUGGGGCAGGGAGAUGUGGGGCAGGAUGUGGGGCAGGGAGAUGUGGGGCAGGGAGAUGUGGGGCAGGGAGAUGUGGGGCAGUUCUGCCCCCCAGAGUCACCAAAAACCCCCAAAAAUGGGUGAAAAUCCCACGGAAACGCGAAUUUUGGAGACGAUUUUGGCCGAUUUUGCUCCUUUUCGCCCCAAAUCUGGGAUUUCUGUGGGGCUCAGGGGUUACCUGGGGGACAGGUGAGCUCAGGUGGGACCCUGGCUGAGCCCAGGUGUCCCCAGGUGAGCCCAGGUGAGCCCAGGUGUAUCCCAGGUACCCCAGGUGUGCCCAGGUGACCCCAGGUACCCCAGGUGUCCCAGGUGUAUCUCAGGUCCCCAGGUGUAUCUCAGGUGUAUCUCAGGUGUAUCUCAGGUGUAUCUCAGGUGUCCCCAGGUGAGCCCAGGUGAGCCCAGGUGUAUCCCAGGUCCCCCAGGUGUCCCCAGGUGUAUCCCAGGUAUCUCAGGUGUGCCCAGGUGACCCCAGGUGUAUCUCAGGUGUAUCCCAGGUACCCCAGGUGUAUCCCAGGUAUCUCAGGUGUCCCCAGGUGUGCUCAGGUGUCCCCAGGUGUAUCUCAGGUGUAUUUCAGGUAUCUCAGGUGUGCCCAGGUGACCCCAGGUGCCGUUCCAGAGUACGUGGAGCACCUGAAGGAUGAGGCCCGGGUGUGCCCAGGUACCCCAGGUGUCCCCAGGUGUCCCCAGGUGUAUCUCAGGUGUAUCUCAGGUGUAUCCCAGGUACCCCAGGUGUAUCCCAGGUAUCUCAGGUGUCCCCAGGUGUGCCCAGGUGACCCCAGGUGCCGUUGCAGAGUACGUGGAGCACCUGAAGGACGAGGCCCGGGUGUCCCCAGGUACCCCAGGUGUCCCAGGUGUAUUCCAGGUGUCCCCAGGUGUAUCUCAGGUGUAUCUCAGGUACCCCAGGUGUAUCCCAGGUACCCCAGGUGUAUCCCAGGUAUCUCAGGUGUCCCCAGGUGUCCCCAGGUGUAUCUCAGGUAUCUCAGGUGUCCCCAGGUGUACCCCAGACUCACCUGGCAGGUAUCAGCCCCUCCUUUCGGGUCCCCGGCACACACCAUGUCCCCAGGUGUCCCCAGGUGUGUUCAGGUGUCUCUCAGGUGUACCCAGGUGUAUCACAGGUAUCUCAGGUGUCCCCAGGUGUACCCCAGACUCACCUGGCAGGUGUCGGCCCCGCCCCUCGGGUCCCCAGCACACACCAUGUCGUCCCGGAUCCUCCGCGGGGGCAGCGCCGGGCCCAGGUCGGUUCCGUAGAGGCGGCGACACAGAGAGAGCGGCAACAGCGGCACCUGCAGCUCCCGGAGCCGCCGGGGGCGCUCUGAGUGACCAGAGAGUGACCACUGAGUGACCAACUGACCACUGACCCACCCUGAGUGACCCCUGAGUGACCACUGAGUGACCACUGACCACACUGACCACACAGAGCCAGCGGCAACAGCGGCACCUGCAGCUCCCGGAGCCGCCGGGGGCGCUCUGAGUGACCAGAGUGACCACUGAGUGACCACUGACCCACCCUGAGUGACCACUGAGUGACCCCUGAGUGACCACUGACCCACCCUGAGUGACCACUGAGUGACCACUGACCACACAAAGAGAGCGGCAACAGCGGCACCUGCAGCUCCCGGAGCCGCCGGGGGCGCUCUGAGUGACCAGAGAGUGACCAACUGACCACUGAGUGACCACUGAGUGACCACUGAGUGACCACUGACCCACCCUGAGUGACCACUGACUGCACUGACCACACUGACCACUGACCAUUGAGUGACCCUGAGUGACCAACUGACCACUGAGUGACCAUUGACUGACCACUGAGU